rnacentral:misc_RNA from 1 species
GAUGAAGAACGUAGCGAAAUGCGAUAAGUAAUGCGAAUUGCAGAAUUCCAGUGAGUCAUCGAAUCUUUGAACGCACAUUGCGCCCUUUGGUAUUCCGAAGGGCAUGCCUGUUCGAGCGUCAUUAUCACCCCUCAAGCCUGGCUUGGUGUUGGGCGACGUCCCCUUUGGGGACGCGCCUCGAAACGCUCGGCGGCGUGGCACCGGCUUUAAGCGUAGCAGAAUCUUUCGCUUUGGAAGUCGGGGCCCCGUUUGCCGGAAGACCUACUCGCAAGGUUGACCUUGGAUCAGGCAGGGAUACCCGCUGAACUUAAGCAUAUCAAUAAGCGGAGGA